CAGGAUUCCUAAGGCAGUCAGUCCAAAGAAUAAAUGAUCUGAAAAGGAUGAUCAGUGUGCUUUUUUCCUAUUUUUAAAGACAGCAAAGUGGAAAACUGGUGGAUAUUAUAAGGACACCCUAAAAAGUACAUUGUUACUAUGACAAUGAAAAGGAGAGCAAAUGUCCAAACUCUUCUUGGUAAAAUUCCAUUUUUCUGUUUGAAAUAUUUUAGUUCCCUGCAUUAAGUGUAAG
rnacentral:lncRNA from 1 species